UACGUAGGGGGCAAGCGUUAUCCGGAUUUACUGGGUGUAAAGGGAGCGUAGACGGUGAAGCAAGUCUGGUGUGAAAGGCAGGGGCUCAACCCCUGGACUGCAUUGGAAACUGUUUUACUUGAGUGCCGGAGAGGUAAGCGGAAUUCCUAGUGUAGCGGUGAAAUGCGUAGAUAUUAGGAGGAACACCAGUGGCGAAGGCGGCUUACUGGACGGUAACUGACGUUGAGGCUCGAAAGCGUGGGGAGCAA
rnacentral:rRNA from 1 species